AGUGAACGCUGGCGGUAGGCCUAACACAUGCAAGUCGAACGGCAGCACAAGAGAGCUUGCUCUCUGGGUGGCGAGUGGCGGACGGGUGAGGAAUACAUCGGAAUCUACUCUGUCGUGGGGGAUAACGUAGGGAAACUUACGCUAAUACCGCAUACGACCUACGGGUGAAAGCAGGGGACCUUCGGGCCUUGCGCGAUUGAAUGAGCCGAUGUCGGAUUAGCUAGUUGGCGGGGUAAAGGCCCACCAAGGCGCCGAUCCGUAGCUGGUCUGAGAGGAUGAUCAGCCAAACUGGAACUGAGACACGGUCCAGACUCCUACGGGAGGCAGCAGUGGGGAAUAUUGGACAAUGGGCGCAAGCCUGAUCCAGCCAUACCGCGUGGGUGAAGAAGGCUUUCGGGUUGUAAAGCCCUUUUGUUGGGAAAGAAAUCCAGCUGGCUAAUACCCGGUUGGGAUGACGGUACCCAAAGAAUAAGCACCGGCUAACUUCGUGCCAGCCGCCGCGGUAA
rnacentral:rRNA from 1 species